AUUCUCUUGCCUCAGCCUCCCGAGUAGCUGGGAUUACAGGUGCACACCAUCAAGGCUGGCUAAUAUUUGUAUUUUUAGUAGAGGUGAGGUUUCACCAUGUUGACCAGGCUGGUCUCGCACUCCUCACCUCAAGUGACCUACCUGUCUAGGCCUCCCCAAAUGCUGGGAUUACAGGACUCAGCCACCACGUCCAGCUACAUAACUUUAUUAUAGAAACCCCUGAACACUUUACAUCAAAAAGCAUCACUCACUCUAACCCUGUCAGAGCCCCCCACCCUGCUCUGCUUCUCUUCAUAACACUUACUACCAUUCAGCACUAUGCAUUUUCUGGUUUAUUCCUGUCUUUCCUCACUAACACGUAAGCUUGAUAGAAGGAGAAGCUGUAUGUGUUUUGCUCAGUGUUGAUUCUCCACCACCCAGAACACCUCCUAGCAUAAGGUCAGCGCUCAGUAAGUUGCUGAAGGAAAGGGAUGGGUUUGAGCAGAGUGGAGAUGGAGAUCAGCUGAUGAACUUUUGAGAUCUAGUAGGUGGCAGAAUAGUCAGAUUGUGAUGAAUUGUUGGGUAUUGAGCAGGAAAAGGGAGAUGAAGGAAAUAAGAGGGCUCUAGGAGGCUCUCCAAGUUUCUGCCCUACACACUGAGUUGAUGGUAUACUGUUCCCUGAAAUAGAGAAGAUGGGAAAAGGAUUUGAUUAAGGACAGGGACAGAGAAGGAUAAUUUCAACUUUGAGGAAGUUGAGAUUCAGGUUAUUAGGACAUAUUCAACUGAAGAUAUCCUGGAGGUAGCUGGCUCUAGAACUAUUAACUGAGUUUGUGCUGAACACUCAUCUCUGUUAGGUACAAAACUGCAUGGAAAGGAGAUGAAGAGAGACUGUAUAGUAUUGAGUUAUUUUCCAGGGAAAAGCUAAAUCCUUUUAAACCCUUCAGGUGAACUUACCAAACCAGCUGCUACUCAGAAGCUCACAGCCUUUCAGAAAAAGGUAUUCUCCAAGCCUCCAAGGAGUCUUAUUGUCUCAAGGCAACCAUUUUUCAGUUUGACUCUGGGGGUGCGUGUUUGCCAUUCAGAACCUACUAUAUUUUACCGCACCUCCUGACAUUGUUACACAACAUUUAUUGAAAGCACAUUUGAUGGUAAUGAAGUUUCUAUUAACUAUGAUUAAAUCUCAUAAAGCACCUGAAGAUAAUUUAAGAUGUGCAGAAGCAGAAAAUGAAACAUUCGGUUUAGUACAUUAGGAAACAUAAUUGAUUAAAUUAUCUCAUUUACAAUAAGUGCUUUCAUGAGCUAUGCAGUGCACAUAUUUUCCCCAGUUUGUCAUUAUGAUUUGCCAACAGAUAUCUUAAGACUUCACCUUCUUUUUACACCUCCCCGCAACUCUAAGCUCGUGCCUCUGCCCGCCUGCUCAUGGAGCACUCUGUGCAGAGCUCUGAGUGAUGUUUUCUAUCUGCCAGGCCUUAUGGAAGAUCAUGUGUAUGGCUAUAUAUAGGCACAGGUUGUUUCUCAAUUAUCUUCAUAAUUGACUUUGAUUUACAUCAGUGAUGAUUCAUGUAGUCUCACACUAAGCCCCUCUUUCACCGAACAACUGCAGCCUGAAUUUCUAUAAUGCACUCCUAACCAUACAGCUUACAGAACCCCGAUUGGAUUCCUCUGGGAGCCUUUUGCAAUCACAUUGAUUCUCUAAGGUCUUAUUUUUAGAGAAAUCACAAAUUAAAACAGUUUAAGCGAUUCCGUUGCAGUAUCCAGCAAUUAAGCAUGGUGCUCAGGAGCGAGAACCCCAAGCAAAAACUGAUUCUGAAGUCCCUAAGGACUGGAAAUGGCUUCUGCGGGGUUUAUGGCUGGAAGUACAGAUGUAACCAAAUUACAAUGGCACAGGACUCACAAACUAAGUGUGAAAUUAAUUUUAAAAACACAUACAUGCAUUUCUAAGUAACUCUCACAUUGGCCACCCCAUGGAUACCUAUGAUCUUUUUUGUGCUAUAUGACAGAAUCAGUGGACAGCAUGCACCAUGUGGCCGGGAGCAAGGUAAGAGUCCACUUACUCCACCUGUCAUCCUGAGGGUCCUGACACAAGCACAGGCCAAAUAUUCAGUGAUCUGUUUAUUUCUCUCUCCCUCAAUGCCCAUACACAUGAACACACAUAUACACAGCCAGGUGCCCCCAAACUCAGUCUUCCCAUAAAUUCAAAAUCAAACAUGCAUGAUGUCAGAGGACCAAUACUUAAGUAGUAAUGAUUUUUUUUUAAUGGGCAGCAGACAGCAGGGAAAUAAGUUUAAAUGUUUAUUUUUGCUGUUUUCCCAAAUUCUUAGACUUUGCAAGUAAUGAUAUCUUUGUAUCUCCAGCCUUCCUGAAGCAACAUAAGGAAAUAGGAACAGAAUGGCUUUACUGGAUUUUUCCCUCAUGUCUUGUGACCCCUGUCCCAAGUUACCUAUUUCUGUCUAUCCUCACAGGGUCUUAAUUCUCUCAAUGAAGUUAGCUCAUAAUAGCUAUUAACUCUUCCAAGCUCUUUGAAUUUUAAUACCCUAGGAUUUAAAAGAUCAAAAGUCAUUCAGUUGAUACUAGAAUGAGAGAUGCUAGGCAGGGACGUCUUUCACAAGCUUUACAAACCAAACCAGCCAGGCAGUUGUCUGAUCUCCUACUAAUGAGAGCUGUAUUAAUGUUGCCCCAGUAUCUUGAAGUUUCCCUAGCGUCCUUUACAUAUUUCUGAUGUAUGAGAAUGACUUGGGGAACAUAUUAACACAUAGAUUCUUAGGAGCUCCUCAACCAGGAAUUCAAAUUUAUUUGUUCUGUUCUGAGGUGGUGCAUAUUUAAUUUAACAAGCUCCAGCCACACUCUGAGAUGCUGAUGCAUGUGGAUUCUGAUCCACCUUUUGAGAAACAUUUUUCUAAAAUCAUGGUUCUCAGCCCCACCUGCACCUUGGAGUCACCUGAGGAGCUUUGAAAAAUAGAGAUACCUGGGUCCUGAAAACCCUCCACCUUAAAUUCCGAUAGCCUUGAUACAGCCUGGAAAUUGGGAAUUUUAAAAGGCCUACAGGUGACACUAAAGAGCAUAAGGUCAAAUGCCAUACUGCUAGCCAUUCCAGCCAUCUCCUCUCUCCAGCUCUGCAGGAAGCAUAAAAUGAAGACAAUGCAAAGGCCUCUCCCAUAAGCAAGCCUGGGUACAACGAGCCUAAGCCAGUACCAACACCCCAAUCCUCAGCUCGUAAUUAUUUCACCAUGGAGUUCUGGAUCCUAAUCUGCCCAGCUGCCAUGGAUUCCACAGGAGAUUCUUAUCAGGAUGAGAAAAGCAGUGAGCUUUCAGCCUGUCACUCUAUUAUAUACAACCAGAAGCCUGCUCAGGAACGAAGAUUACGCUGGGUAGCAAAAUGAAACUCCAUUAAAAACAGUUUUAUCUUGGUCCUAUCCUUGGUCCAAACUUCUCUUUCCUUGAACACAAAAGGAAGACGCAGAUGGAAGCCCUCUACUCCGUGGAUCCUCAAUCGACUUCAGCCCCAUUGCCAUGUGAUGCCAUGUCCUGUGCCACCUCUGGACUCUGCAGAGAGUCCCCACCAGCAAGAAGGCUCUCACCAGACAUAGCUCCUCGACCUUGGAUUUCUCAGCCUCCAGAACGGUAAGAAAUAAAUUUCUUUCCCUUGAAAAUUACCCAGUUUCAGGUAUUUUGUUAUGAGCAACAAGAAAUAAACUAAGACACUGUCCUACCAUGAUCUUCUUUCUGGGACUUUGGCAGUGGUUUCUUCACCAACUGGUCUGUCUGUGGCUUCUAUUCUGACCUCUACAGUUGAUUUUCUACAAAGGAAUGAGACCACACCACUUUCUAGCUUGAGAUCAUUCAGUGGCUUUGAAUCUUACUUAGAAUGAAACCUCUAGGCUAACAAAAUCCUUAUGGGGGUUCUAGCACCCUCUGUGAGUUAUCCACCUCAGAGCCUCAAGCUCACUCCACUUUAGCCAUGCUGUACUCCUUCAUGCCCUUUGAACUUUCUAAAGUUCAAAGCAAGCUCCAACCUCAGAGCCUUCAUAUCUACUGAUUCCUCUGCCCUGAAGAACUUUCCCAUAGGUGGUACCAUGGCUCAUUCCCACUUUGCAUUUAAAUCUCAGGUCAAAUGUUAUUUCUUCACAGAGGCCUUACUUAACAACCCUUUCAAAAAUAGUAAACCCCACCCCUUCCUGCUUUUUCUUCCUAAUGCUUACCUCUGUUUACUAGUCUUUUUUCCUUUUUAUUUUUUGAGACAAUGUCUCAAAAGACUACUGCUGGAACACAGUAGUGUGAUCAUAGCUCACUACAACCUUGACCUUCCAGGCUCAAGCAAUCCUCCCACCUCAGCCUCCUGACUAGCUGGGACUACAGGCUCUACAGAUUGAUUUUAAAGCCACCUACACUGCAGUUUCUUCAAUUUAGCUCCACUUAUCUGAUUAUGCAUCACAAAAGGAAGCAGAAAUUCAGCUUAAUUGUGAAGCCAUUGCAGCAGAACCAAGCAAAUGAUAGAAAACCUCAUGAUCACAGACAGAAUCACACUCACUGAUGCUGAAUGAAAUGACAGACAUCCGUCCCUCUGCAGAAGCCUGAAUACUGAUCACAGAAUUUUAUGUUCUGACAUUGUGUGUCUCUUGUCAGAUAGUGUUGUCCUUUACUUUCCCCGCUUCAGUUGUGAAAGUCAGGUGCAGUCUCAUACUAUUUUUUUUUAAAUUCAUUAUGACAAGUAAAUGGUCUCUGGGAAAGCGAACAUCCUCAUCCACUGUUUACUGAAACUGUAACACUGUCAUGAGUGAAGAAUGAAACAUGUUUAAUGUAAAGAGUUUGCAGAAUGAUGAUCAGAGGAAAAGAACAUUAAACAGAAGAAACAUAAAUAUAAGGAUGGGGAGAGAGAUGUAAUCAAAAGACAGCUUGUAAGGGAGGUUACAUGCUGCCAUUUGCUUUUCAGCUGUGUUUUCCAUAGUGGGACAGAUCUUGCUCUUUGUUACUUCUACUUUUGCUUUUUCCCAUCUGCAAAGAGGGAAACAAUCUGCUUUUGAAUCUCUAGUGAAGCAUCACCUAGAAGCUGCUGCCAAAGCUUGAUAUCCAGAGUGCUCUAAAACAUAGUGUGAUGUGCCCUUUCAUCUUAAAGGAUUAUUUUUGGCUGGGCAGACCUCUCUAAGAUAGAUUAUAAGGAGCUGGCUUUUAGAGGCACUGAAAACUGCUUCUGCAUUCACAUUUACCCCCUCCCUCCAUUAUCUGAGGUAUGUAAAUAAUGUUUUAAAGUGGUGAUGUGAGAAUAUUAAUUUUUUCAUUUCUUGUUCCUGUUACCAUGUAAUAUAUCUUCAAGUGCUGAGAAAACAUCUUACAAAACCAUUAAAGAUUCCAAAUGUUCAUAC